GAUGAACGCUGGCGGCGUGCCUAAUACAUGCAAGUCGAACGCACAGCGAAAGGUGCUUGCACCUUUCAAGUGAGUGGCGAACGGGUGAGUAACACGUGGACAACCUGCCUCAAGGCUGGGGAUAACAUUUGGAAACAUAUGCUAAUACCGAAUAAAACUUAGUGUCGCAUGACACACAGUUAAAAGGAGCUUCGGCGUCACCUAGAGAUGGAUCCGCGGUGCAUUAGUUAGUUGGUGGGGUAAAGGCCUACCAAGACAAUGAUGCAUAGCCGAGUUGAGAGACUGAUCGGCCACAUUGGGACUGAGACACGGCCCAAACUCCUACGGGAGGCUGCAGUAGGGAAUCUUCCACAAUGGGCGAAAGCCUGAUGGAGCAACGCCGCGUGUGUGAUGAAGGCUUUCGGGUCGUAAAGCACUGUUGUAUGGGAAGAACAGCUAGAAUAGGAAAUGAUUUUAGUUUGACGGUACCAUACCAGAAAGGGACGGCUAAAUACGUG
rnacentral:rRNA from 1 species